rfam:Oryza glumipatula chromosome 3, whole genome shotgun sequence.
AGUAAGUGUAGUUUGCAUUGUUUAUGUCCAACGUAUAACCGUUCAGUUUAUUUAAUGUUUUUAUGAUUAAUAUUUUUAUUGUUAUUAAAUGAUAAAACAUGAAUAGUACUUUAUGUGUGACUAAUUUUUUAAAUCUUUUCAAUAAAUUUUUUAAAUAAAACGAACGGUCAAACGUUGGAUAUAGAUAUUCAUAGUUACACUUAUU